AUUUAAAUAAUUUAAUUAAAAAUAUUGAUUUGUGGAGUCAAAUAUAUGAUAAAUAAUCAUUUUAAAUU
rnacentral:tRNA from 1 species